UUCGCAAUGCCCGAAAGGGUGACGAAGCGACGCCGCGUGGGUGAGGAAGGCCUUCGGGUUGUAAAGCCCUGUCAGGAGUUAUGAAAUGUAAGUGCGCUAAUAUCGUGCUUAUUUGACAAAGGCUCCAAAGGAAGCCACGGCUAACUCUGUGCCAGCAGCCGCGGUAAUACAGAGGUGGCGAGCGUUGUUCGGAAUUAUUGGGCGUAAAGAGCACGUAGGUGGGUUUGCAAGUCAGAUGUGAAAGCCUUCUGUUCAACGGAAGAAUUGCAUCUGAAACUGCUAAUCUUGAGUAUAGGAGGGGAGAAUGGAACUUCUGGUGGAGCGGUGAAAUGCGUAGAUAUCAGAAGGAAUGCCGGCGGCGAAAGCGAUUCUCUGGCCUAUUACUGACACUCAGUGUGCGAAAGCUAGGGGAGCAAACGGGAUUAGAUACCCCGGUAGUCCUAGCCGUAAACGAUGGGCACUAAGUAGAGGGGUUUU
rnacentral:rRNA from 1 species